AUUGAACGCUGGCGGAAUGCUUUACACAUGCAAGUCGAACGGCAGCACGGACUUCGGUCUGGUGGCGAGUGGCGAACGGGUGAGUAAUGUAUCGGAACGUGCCCAGUCGUGGGGGAUAACGUAGUGAAAAUUACGCUAAUACCGCAUACGAUCUAUGGAUGAAAGCGGGGGAUCGCAAGACCUCGCGCGAUUGGAGCGGCCGAUAUCAGAUUAGGUAGUUGGUGGGGUAAAGGCCCACCAAGCCAACGAUCUGUAUAUGGUCUGAGAGGACGACCAGCCACACUGGAGCUGAGGAUCGGUCCAGACUCCGACGGGAGGCAGCAGUGGGGAAUGUUGGACAAUGGGCGAGAGCCGGAUCCAGCCAUACGGCGUGCAGGAUGAAGGCCCUCGGGUCGUAAACUGCUUUUGUACAGAACGAAAAGGUUUCCACUAAUACUAGGAGCUCAUGACGGUACUGUAAGAAUAAGCACCGGCUAACUACGUGCCAGCCGCCGCCGUAA
rnacentral:rRNA from 1 species